CUGGUCCCUUGACUUACAGCUCUCGGACAAACUCUUUCAUUACAGUGUCUUCUUGUCGACAGGUUGAGAGUUACAAAUAGCAGGUGUUGGCAUUUGUGAUAGAUGCUGAUGAAAGACGAGAAACAACAGCAAAACUUAGUUCUGGAAAAAAACUUGUGGUGGAUUGGGUUUUAAACAUCAGAGAGCAAACACAGGAUAU